rnacentral:rRNA from 1 species
CUGAGACACGGACCAGACUCCUACGGGAGGCAGCAGUGAGGAAUAUUGGUCAAUGGGCGCGAGCCUGAACCAGCCAAGUCGCGUGAGGGAUGGCGGUCCUACGGAUUGUAAACCUCUUUUGCCGGGGAGCAAGCGUGCGUUCGUGAACGCGCGUCGAGAGUACCCGGAGAAAAAGCAUCGGCUAACUCCGUGCCAGCAGCCGCGGUAAUACGGAGGAUGCGAGCGUUAUCCGGAUUUAUUGGGUUUAAAGGGUGCGUAGGCGGGAUGCCAAGUCAGCGGUAAAAAUGCGGUGCUCAACGCCGUCGAGCCGUUGAAACUGGCGUUCUUGAGUGGGCGAGAAGUAUGCGGAAUGCGUGGUGUAGCGGUGAAAUGCAUAGAUAUCACGCAGAACUCCGAUUGCGAAGGCAGCAUACCGGCGCCCUACUGACGCUGAGGCACGAAAGCGUGGGUAUCGAACAGGAUUAGAUACCCUGGUAGUCCACGCAGUAAACGAUGAAUGCUAACUGUCCGGUGCGAGUGAGCGCUGG